GGAAGCCUGGAGCCUGAGAGCCCAGGCGCAAGGUGCAGGGGGAGCCUACGGUGCAGACUUGGGGCCGCUCCCGCGCCGCCUUCUCGCUGCUGACUUCCAGCCCCCCAAGACUGCCGUAGCUUGCAUGCAGGCCUAGAAGUGCCACCGCUUGGGACAAGCACCCUUGAGCCCACCCGGGCGCUGGGUGCUGCAGGAUGAAGCCACUAUACAGCGGGACACUCUAGAGCACCAGGUCCCGGUCGGUGGGCAAGACUCCAGCCAGCCAACGCUCUCUCGGAGGAUGGGCAGGCGCCCAGGCAGCCCUCCGCGCCCACCCGCAACACAACCUCACAGACCUGGAGCGUGGGUCUCGGGGACGCGGGGACGGGGAGAGCACUGGCCGCCCGCGCAGUCUGGCGGGCAUCCCGGCCCGUCCCCCGCCACCCCUCCCCCGCCCGCUCCAGCUCAGAGGUGAACUCCGGCCAGACGCGGAGAUCGCGGCGGGCGGCACUCACCUGCCGCAGCCCCUGGAUGGGCGAGCGGGACCGCCCACCGCGCAGUUCGGCCACCGGCCCAGUGGGCUGCGGGGGAGGGGCAGCGCUCCGGGUGGCGCGACACGGCGCGGCGUAGCUCUUUAAGAGGGACCUGCCACCGGGCUCUCGGAGCUCCCCGCCCCCCUUUCGCCUUCUCGGGACUUGCAGCCUGUCUGGCGGCGGCCGCAGCUCCUCCCCGGCUAGCUGGGGAUCCCCUCCGGCUGACGGGAAGGAGGGAGGGAGAGCGCCGGUGCUGUCGGGCUGGGGCCCCGAGUCCCGCCACCGCGCAGAGGCCGGGUCUGUCUCAACUCAGCCUCGGCCGCUCCUCCCCCGGCUCUGCGGCGAGGACCCGGCGUGCGGCCAGACGGCGGGGGCGGGGGGCGCCGCCGGGGGAUGCGGCCCCGCCCAGGUGCACACACCCCACCCCCAGGCUGCGGGUCCGGGGCUCCCAGGAGGAGAGAGGGGAGGUCGCAGCACACCCGGUACCCUGAGCCCUGUAAAGAGCUUGGAACUGGGGCGUGAGACAAGCGCUCGCUGCGGGUAGGGUAGGCCACAGGAGGUUUGAGGAGUGGGUGGGCAUCUACUGCUUCCCUGGCUGUGAAUGCCUGCCUGCAGCAGAACUUGAUCCUCUGUUCUCAGGCACACAGUAGGACCACAGGACAGUUAGUGGGAAGGGUUAAACGUCUGGGGAGCCCCCUCCUCCAGGCUGGAAAGAAUCCUCUGGACUCCCCUGGUAUCACGCCCUCUUCUAGGGAAAUGGGUCUGGACUGGACAGUGGAGUAGAUCCUUUCUCCUGGAGCUAUGACCCUUUGCCCUUGAAGAAAGACCUCCAAGUUCUACAAAACUCCUGGACAGGACCUACACUGAAUGCAGACAAUAAAUAGGUCAUCGGUUCUCCGGAAGUAUGAGCACUGACUCUGGUCUACCCAGCCAUGUUUGAUGGAGAUUGCUGCCACUGCCAAUUUUAUUGCAGCCAACACAAUUAGAGAGUUGAGUUCUCCUCCGCCGAAAUUAUCCUCCCUGCAGACCGUCAAGAUACAUGAACCCAAGUUUCAGGUUUGGUUUAACAGAGAUGGAAAUUAUUAAAAGGGUAACAGUUUUUAAC
rnacentral:lncRNA from 1 species